UUGAUCAAGCUACAAAGGGCGCAUGAUGGAUGCCUUGGUGCCAACAGGCGAAGAAGGACGUGAUAAGCUGCGAAAAGCUUCGGGGAGCGGCAAAUACGCGUUGAUCCGGAGAUGUCCGAAUGGGAUAACCCAGUAAGGAAAACCCUUACUACUCCUGCAUGAAUCUAUAGUGCAGGUAGAGCCACACCCGCUGAAGUGAAACAUCUCAGUAAGCGGAGGAAAAGAAAGCGAAAGCGAUUUCGUCAGUAGCGGCGAGCGAAAGCGAAACAGCCCAAACCGGUGGUUUACCACCGGGGUUGUAGGACCCCGAUAUGGCAGUGUUCUGGUUAGGUGAAGCGAAUGGAAAAUCGCUCCACAGAGGGUGAAAGGCCCGUAACCGAAAACUUCGAACACGCCUAGGGAGUUCCUGAGUAACACGAUAUAAGUGAAGUCUCGUGUGAAUCUGCGCGGACCACCGCGUAAGGCUAAAUACUAGUUGGCGACCGAUAGUGAACAAGUACCGCGAGGGAAAGGUGAAAAGCACCCCUGUGAGGGGAGUGAAAAAGAUCCUGAAAUCAUGUGCCUACAAGGUGUCAGAGCGCAUCAAAGCGUGAUGGCGUGCCUUUUGCUUAAUGAGUCUGCGAGUUAUUGUCAGUGGCAAGCCUAAGAUCUUCUGGAUCGGAGGCGAAGCGAAAGCGAGUCCGAAUAGGGCGACCAUAGUUGCUGGCAGUAGACCCGAAGCGGAGGUGAUCUACCCAUGGUCAGGAUGAAGCGCCGGUAACACGGCGUGGAGGUCCGAACCGAUGAACAUUGAAAAGUUCCCGGAUGAACUGUGGGUAGGAGCGAAAGACUAAUCAAACCCCGUGAUAGCUGGUUUUCCCCGAAAUAGCUUGAGGGCUAGCCUCGGAUGCUGACCCAAGGAGGUAGAGCACUGGAUGAACUAGGGCCCAUACCCGGGUACCGAAUUCAAUCAAACUCCGAAUGCCUUGGGGUGUAGUCCGGGAGUCAGUGCGCGAGGGAUAAGCUUCGUGCGCGAGAGGCAAACAUGCCAGACCAGCAGCUAAGGUGCCUAAAUACUGCGUAGUGGAAAGGAGGUGGAGAUACUUAGACAAUGAGGAUGUUGGCUUAGAGGCAGCCACCAUUUAAACAGUGCGUAAUAGCUGACUCAUCGAGUGUUUCCGCGCCGAAAAGCAGACAUGAGUAGCGAUAAACCCGGUGAAGUCCCGGGUCGCCGUAAACCCAAGGUUUCCUGGGGAAGGUUCGUCCUCCCAGGGUUAGUCGGGACCUAAGUCGAGGCCGAAGGGCGUAGGCGAUGGAAAGCAGGUCAAUAUUCCUGCACCGACUCUGGUUAAGCUGGAGGAGACGUAUGGCUUUAAGGUGGGCUGCCGAUUGAAAGUGGCGGUCCCGCAAGGGGACGUGGAGGCUACGGCCGAAGCGGAUCCACUGAUGGCUGUGCCAAGAAAGAUCUUCCAGUGUUCCCAGGGUUGCCCGUACCGUAAACCGACACAGGUGGGUGGGUAGAAUAUACCAAGGCGCGUGAGUGAAACCUCGUUAAGGAACUCGGCAAUCUAGCCCCGUAACUUCGGAAGAAGGGGUGCCUGUCUUUGACAGGCCGCAGUGAAAGGGGUCAACCGACUGUUUAACAAUCGUGUAACGAGUUGACCGCUGUCUCAACGAGGAGCUCAGCGAAGUUGUAAUGGCGGUGAAGAUGCCGCCUACCCGCAGCAGGACGGAAAGACCCUAUGCACCUUUACUGUACGCUGUCACUGUGUUCUCGAUUUCGAUGCUUAGCGUAAGUGGGAGACUUUGAAGUGAGCCUUUCGGGGCUCACGGAGUCGUCAAUGAAACACCACCCUUCGUGAUUGGGAACUCUAACCCGGGACUGUUAACCAGUCCGGGAACACUGGCAGCCGGUCAGUUUUACUGGGGCGGUAUCCUCCCAAAGAGUAACGGAGGAGUGCGAAGGUUGGCUCAGCCCGGUUGGUAAUCGGGUGACGAGUAUAUGGAUAUAAGCCAGCCUAACUGUGAGACCUACAAGUCGAGCAGAUGCGAAAGCAGGCCCAAGUGAUCCGGUGGUUGAAUGUGGAAUUGCCAUCGCUCAACGGACAAAAGGUACGCUAGGGAUAACAGGCUGAUCGAGCCCAAGAGCUCAUAUCGACGGCUCGGUUUGGCACCUCGAUGUCGGCUCAUCACAUCCUGGGGCUGGAGAAGGUCCCAAGGGUCCGGCUGUUCGCCGGUUAAAGUGGUACGCGAGCUGGGUUCAGAACGUCGCGAGACAGU
rnacentral:rRNA from 1 species